UACGUAGGGUGCGAGCGUUGUCCGGAAUUAUUGGGCGUAAAGAGCUCGUAGGCGGCUUGUCACGUCGAUUGUGAAAGCCCGAGGCUUAACCUCGGGUCUGCAGUCGAUACGGGCUAGCUAGAGUGUGGUAGGGGAGAUCGGAAUUCCUGGUGUAGCGGUGAAAAUGCGCAGAUAUCAGGAGGAACACCUGCGGUGUAGACGGCUUACUGGACCAUAACUGACGCUGAGGCACGAAAGCGUGGGUAGCAAACAGGA
rnacentral:rRNA from 1 species